rnacentral:lncRNA from 1 species
GCAUCAGGAAAAAUCCCAGCCAGCAUUGGGCUAAAUAUUAUCCAUCUACUUUUGCAGCCUUCCUUCCAUUCCCUUACAACCAGGUGUGUUGUGCAGUGUUGUAGCUGAAGAUAAUCAGGUUAGUACAUGAAUAAGAUUUGAUUAUUUUUGUUUUACAUAGGCUAUAAAACUGUCCAAUCUGUUUUAAAAAUCCUUUCAGUUUUCUAUUCACUUAGCUUUCACCAAAUUGAAUUCCCCACCUGAAAUAUAUAAAGCAACAGGGAUUAGAACAAGGGAGUUAUUCUUUGACUUUUAAAUGCAAAACUCUACUAUUUUCUUGGAGUAAUUCUUCAUUAGAACUAUGUGGAUUUAGCACACAGUGUAUCAUUUCUCCUCAUUGUUGUCCCUGAGAUUUUAAAUUACCCAUCAACCUAGCAUUGCUUCAGUGGACUGGAUGUGACAUUAUCCUUUGCAGCUCAGCUGUGGUAUCUUCCUGACUGAUACUGGUGAAUGGGUUUACAAGUAUCAGCUGCUAGUUUGGCAGUUAGCUUGCUUCAAAGCGAUGUUAACUGUAGGGUGAUGAAUACCUGAUAAAAUGAGCUAAAAGCACUGGGGAGUCCCUGAGCAGGAGCCUGCUAUAUUGAAAAAGAGGCAGUAUCUAAAUAAACUCUAAAAGGUUUCUAGCAGCCAGAAUGUGAAAUGGAAGUCGUCUUCCUUUGGAAGUUUACAUAAUCAUUUAAUUUAAUCCUUCCUGCAGUGUUUCCCAGUGACUGCUUUAGUUCUUUGAUCAUAAUAUGCUAGGACAAAUGUCAGGAAAUAUGAGUCUACAAAGUGAUGUAAAUCUUGUUCCCUAUCGGAGAUGUGACUAUUAGCAUUAUCUUCAUGAUAUUUUCUUUCCCAUGUAUUUAUUUCUGCAAUGUUUUUUCCAGCUCUAAGAUGACAGAGGAAAGCAACAACUUUCAAGCUGAAAAAUGAAGUUAUCUCCUGUAAUGACUUGGGUUCAGGGAGUACUGAGCUUCCACUUCAAGAACACAACUGUGCAAGAGACAACAAUAAGAACAAUACAUACACAAAGGUUGCUCGGAAAGCAAUACCUCCUAUUUUAUUAUGUUGGUAGAUGCUGAUGCUAUGGUAGUAGACCUUCCCACCAACAUUCCAAUGCAUUUUGUUGCUGUGUGACAGAUGGCAGCAGAGGAGCAGUCUGACAAAAUGCCAUCUGACAUGGAAGUGCAGAUGAAUUCCUCCAUGUGGGAAAACUGAUGCCCAUUUACCUUCAUAGACAAUUGCUGAAUGUUUCUGGAUACCCAACAGUGGACGCGAGCACAGUGAGGUGGUGGAUGGUGAGUUUCAGCAGUGGACAGCAACAUGAAAUAUAAGCCAUGUUCUGGGCAGCUAUGCAAAGCAUCUCAAUCAGCUCAUCUGUGUGAAUCAGCAGAUUACAACCAGGGAACUGUGUAUGGAGCUUCAUUGCACUGGAAAUGAUGGCGGUAACACUGAAAUAUUGCUAAGCUU